rnacentral:rRNA from 1 species
GACGAACGCUGGCGGCGUGCUUAACACAUGCAAGUCGAACGAAAAUACCAAGCUUGCUUGGUUGAUUAGUGGCGAACGGGUGAGUAACACGUGAGUGACCUGCCCCUUACUUUCCUGGAUAACUGCUCGAAAGGGUAGCUAAUACGGGAUAUUCUGACCAGCCUGCAUGGGUUGGUUUGGAAAGGUUGUUUUUCUGGUAAGGGAUGGGCUCGCGGCCUAUCAGCUUGUUGGUGGGGUGAUGGCCUACCAAGGCUUUGACGGGUAGCCGGCCUGAGGGGGUGGACGGUCACACUGGGACUGAGAUACGGCCCAGAAGCCUACGGGAGGGAGCAGUGGGGAAUAUUGCACAAGGGGCGCAAGCCUGAUGCAGCGACGCCGCGGGAGGGAGGAAGGCCUUCGGGUUGUAAACCUCUUUCGUCAGGGAACAAGGCACUGCUUUUGUGGUGGUGUUGAGGGUACCUGGAUAAGAAGCGCCGGCUAACUACGUG